rnacentral:rRNA from 1 species
UACAGAGGGGGCAAGCGUUGUUCGGAAUUACUGGGCGUAAAGGGCUCGUAGGUGGCCAACUAAGUCAGACGUGAAAUCCCUCGGCUUAACCGGGGAACUGCGUCUGAUACUGGAUGGCUUGAGUUCGGGAGAGGGAUGCGGAAUUCCAGGUGUAGCGGUGAAAUGCGUAGAUAUCUGGAGGAACACCGGUGGCGAAGGCGGCAUCCUGGACCAACACUGACGCUGAGGCGCGAAAGCUAGGGGAGCAAACGGG